UAAGGAAUCUUCCACAAUGGGCGAAAGCCUGAUGGAGCAACGCCGCGUGCAGGAUGAAGGCCUUCGGGUCGUAAACUGCUUUUAUGAGUGAAGAAUAUGACGGUAACUCAUGAAUAAGGGUCGGCUAACUACGUGCCAGCAGCCGCGGUCAUACGUAGGACCCAAGCGUUAUCCGGAGUGACUGGGCGUAAAGAGUUGCGUAGGUGGUUAGUAAAGUGAAUAGUGAAAGCUGGUGGCUCAACCAUACAGACUAUUAUUCAUACUCACUAACUCGAGAACAGCAGAGGUAACUGGAAUUUCUGAAGUAGGGGUAAUAUCCGUAGAUAUCAGAAGGAACACCAAUGGCGUAGGCAGGUUACUGGGCUGUUUCUGACACUGAGGCACGAAAGCGUGGGGAGCGAACC
rnacentral:rRNA from 1 species